AUAAGUGACACGCAAUUUGCGUUUUCUUGCGAUUAAGAGGAGAACAUUCUUUACGAUAAACGAGAUUACGUCCUACGUGCUUCGAACAUCGUCUUGGUAAUCUCGAUACAUGCGGCAUAAAGCGCGGUAAAAUGGCGUUGGGCGAGUAACGAUCGUUUCAACUUCACCGAUUAGAAUCCACACGGGCUAUCUGAAUCCCUCUUUUCUCGCGCGACUAAUCCUCGAAUAUACGUACAUAAACACAUAAUUCCAGAAAUAUUCGUAAUCCCUACCAACCAUGUAUAACCAACCACAUUGGCAUCGUUCUAUCGUCCUACACAAAAUGGAUGGAAAAAGCAAAAGUAAAACUUAGAGAGAGAGAGAGAGAGAAAGAGAAAAAAAGACGAAUAAAAGGAAUAAGAGGGAAUAAAGGGAAGAUAAAUAUGCAGGGUUAGCAGAUACCACAUGGACGUGAGUUCUCUCGCUUCGUCGACCCGAAACGCGAAACCGCAGCGUGUUAACUUGAACGGAGCAGGUAUUUGACACGUCGAUGCACAGUAGAGAACCAGCGAUAAAGAGAGACAGAGAGAGAGAGAGAAAGAGAGAGGGAAAGAGGGGAAGAGAGAGAGAGAGGGAGAGAGAGUACACGAGUACUGUAAGUAGACAAGCAAUUUCGAGUCCUCGUGUCCUUUCGAUGCUCGAAGCAAAAGGAAACGCGUGUUACACCCGCAUAUAGGACACGGAUCUCGCGUUACACAUUGGGUCCAUACCGCAAGGUCAACGAUAGAUUGGAUCUAGCACAGAAAUGCGGUCGCACUUGGAGUUAACGUAUAGAUGUGUUAAGUUACAGGAGAAACACGAGAACGAGAGAAGAGGAUAAUACAGAGGCGUCCGUUACCGUUAGAAGGUUGGCGAUCUAAGGGCACCCUCGCACGACUUCUCGAAGGAGUUCGCGAAAGACCUGUCGAGAUCAAUUUAGGACGAUCGCCACUGUACUACGGAAAUUGAUACCCUGUUAGCGUGUUGUUUUAAUACUAGAGGUCGGUAGAUUCGUUUUGUAACUGUGGGAAAAGUUGAAUCGAUCGAGGACGAAGCUGUGGCCCCGUUACACCAUCGUUUUUUGCUCUCAUUGAUGGAACUUAUCGAUCUUAAAGAUCGUCUUCUCUAAUUCUCUCUCUCUCUCUCUCUCUUUUAUUCUUUCACACGACAGAUUUAUUUCUCAUGGUAAGGAAGGUACGAUGUUUGCAGAGAGAUAAAUUCGGAGUCAUUCCGAAAAUAGAAAGAUCCACGAUAUCGGUAGAAUAAAAUGGUGCCUACCUCUCGGACUAUGGAUCGACGUCAGGAUGUUAAGAUGGUGGCGAAAGGAAAUAAAAGAAUGUAGUAUGUGCUUCGACGAAGGCGCGAAACGGACGAUUUAAAAGCGAGCGGCCGAUCUAUCGCGUCCACGCGGCGCCAUUGAUCCGCCUUUCAAGAUUUCCAACCGCUUAAGUGCCGUCGAUCGUGAAUCUCCCAGCCUUCGGAGGACAGCGAACGAGCUCUCCUCUUAUCACCGGUUUCGCCUAUGAUAGCCGCCGCGCGUACGAGCGAGUACGAACGAGUAAAAAAGAAGGGAAAAAAGAUACAGAUAGAACGAGAGAGAAACAGAAAGAGAGAGGGAGAGAGAAAGAACACUUUGCUACUGGCGGCACAUCGACAGCACACGGCUUAAGGACAGAUCGAGCCGUGGAAUCUGGCAGAGACGCAUUGCUCGUCCCUUUUCGCGCCUAUCUAUCUACUCGAAGAGAGAACGACGACGACGACGACAACGACGACGACGACGACGACGACGACGACGACGACGACGACGACGACGACGACGACGACGACGACGACGACGAGGAGGAGGAGAAGAUCCUUUCCCGAACACAUUGGGAUCGUGCGAAAUUUCACGCUCAAAGGUGACAGAGCAAGGUAAAAGAGCGAGGGUGAAGAUCGACGAGGCGAAAGACGCGAGAACAACAUUGCGAGUAAGAAGAGGGUAGUAAGAGUAACGACGAGGCAAGUAAACUCGACGACGACGACGACUACGUUACACCGGGUUAAGGACAGUUGCACGAUACAACGUACAGUAAGACGUGCAUACAAAUAGAAGUCCUUAGAGAAACGAGAAGCAGAGAGAGGAAGAGGGAGAGAGAGAGAGAGUGGUCGCUUGACGGUUACUUUACGAGCGGCAGUGCCUCGAGUUCACGCCGUGGCAUUACUUCCGAACCAUUAGGCCGUGCACGCCGUAUUGCAUUACCUCCCCCUUCAUGCUUUGGAAUCAUGUCCUUCCUACGCCCAUGAUUCCCGUUUCAAGCCUAAAGCCACCUUGCAAGAAGAAGAAAAUAGAGAGAGAUAGAGAGAGAGUGAGAGAAGAAAUAGAAGGCUGAAGAAUCCAAUAUUCUAAAUCAACGGGAUCGUAAAAUUGAAAGCGCGAACUCCGGCGACGUUCGAACCGAAGGUGGUCUCUAAUUAAUUGUUUAAAGUAUAAAUUGA